rnacentral:rRNA from 1 species
AGCGAACGCUGGCGGCAGGCCUAACACAUGCAAGUCGAACGAACCCUUCGGGGUUAGUGGCGGACGGGCGAGUAACACGUGGGAACGUGCCUUUAGGUUCGGAAUAACUCAGGGAAACUUGUGCUAAUACCGAAUGUGCCCUUCGGGGGAAAGAUUUAUCGCCUUUAGAGCGGCCCGCGUCUGAUUAGCUAGUUGGUGAGGUAAUGGCUCACCAAGGCUACGAUCAGUAGCUGGUCUGAGAGGAUGACCAGCCACAUUGGGACUGAGACACGGCCCAAACUCCUACGGGAGGCAGCAGUGGGGAAUCUCGCGCAAUGGGCGAAAGCCUGACGCAGCCAUGCCGCGUGGAUGAUGAAGGUCUUAGGAUUGUAAAAUCCUUUCACCGGUGAAGAUAAUGACUGUAGCCGGAGAAGAAGCCCCGGCUAACUUCGUGCCAGCCGCCGCGGUAAUAC